UACGGAAGGCAGCAGUGGGGAAUAUUGCACAAUGGGCGCAAGCCUGAUGCAGCCAUGCCGCGUGUAUGAAGAAGGCCUUCGGGUUGUAAAGUACUUUCAGUCGUGAGGAAGGUGUUAAGGUUAAUAACCUUAGCAAUUGACGUUAGCGACAGAAGAAGCACCGGCUAACUCCGUGCCAGCAGCCGCGGUAAUACGGAGGGUGCGAGCGUUAAUCGGAAUUACUGGGCGUAAAGGGCACGCAGGCGGUUAAUUAAGUUGGAUGUGAAAUCCCCGGGCUUAACCUGGGAAUGGCAUUCAAGACUGGUUAGCUAGAGUCUUGUAGAGGGGGUAGAAUUCCAUGUGUAGCGGUGAAAUGCGUAGAGAUGUGGAGGAAUACCGGGUGGCGAAGGCGGCCCCUGGGCAAAGGCUGACGCUCAUGUGCGAAAGCGUGGGGAGCAAACGAGGAUUAGAUACC
rnacentral:rRNA from 1 species